rnacentral:rRNA from 1 species
UUCUUCGAAAAAAAUAUUUAAAAAAAUCAAUUAACUAAAAGGAACUCGGCAAAUUUAGUUGCUUCGCCUGUUUAUCAAAAACAUGGCUCUCUGCUUAUAUAUAUAGAGAGUCGAGCCUGCCCAGUGAAUUUUUCAACGGCCGCGGUACUCUGACCGUGCAAAGGUAGCAUAAUCAUUUGCCUUAUAAUUGAAGGCUAGUAUGAAUGGUUUGACGAGAGCAACGCUGUCUCUUUUUUAUUUUCAAGAACUUAACUUUUAGGUGAAGAGGCCUAAAUUUUAUUGAAGGACAAGAAGACCCUGUCGAGCUUAAAAGAUACUAUAGAAGUUUAUAUAUCUUUAAAUAAAUUUUCUAUUAAGCUUUUUAGUUGGGGCGACUAAGGAACAAAAAAAGCUUCUUGUUAAUAUUAAACGGUCACGUUUAGAUCCGGUAAUAAUCGAUUAAAGAAAUUAGUUACCGCAGGGAUAACAGCAUAAUCUCUCUUGAGAGACCUAAUCGAAAGAGGGGGUUGUGACCUCGAUGUUGGACUAGAAUAUCCUAAAGAUGUAGA